rnacentral:rRNA from 1 species
UACGAAGGGGGCUAGCGUUGUUCGGAUUUACUGGGCGUAAAGCGCUCGUAGGCGGAUCGUUAAGUCGGGGGUGAAAUCCUGGAGCUCAACUCCAGAACUGCCUUCGAUACUGGCGAUCUUGAGUCCGGAAGAGGUGAGUGGAACUCCUAGUGUAGAGGUGGAAUUCGUAGAUAUUAGGAAGAACACCAGUGGCGAAGGCGGCUCACUGGUCCGGUACUGACGCUGAGGUGCGAAAGCGUGGGGAGCAAACAGG